rnacentral:misc_RNA from 1 species
GAUGAGAACGUAGCGAAAUGCGAUAAGUAAUGUGAAUUGCAGAAUUCAGUGAAUCAUCGAAUCUUUGAACGCACAUUGCGCCCGCCAGCAUUCUGGCGGGCAUGCCUGUUCGAGCGUCAUUUCAACCCUCGAGCCCCCCCGGGGGCCUCGGUGUUGGGGGACGGCACACCAGCCGCCCCCGAAAUGCAGUGGCGACCUCGCCGCAGCCUCCCCUGCGUAGUAGCACACACCUCGCACCGGAGCGCGGAGACGGUCACGCCGUAAAACGCCCAACUUCUUAGAGUUGACCUCGGAUCAGGUAGGAAUACCCGCUGAACUUAAGCAUAUCAAUAAGCGGAGGA